CAGUCGCCGCGGGAAUACGAAGGGUGCAAGCGUUAAUUGGAAUUACUGGGCGUAAAGCGUGCGUAGGCGGUGAGUUAAGUCUGCUGUGAAAUCCCCGGGCUCAACCUGGGAAUGGCAGUGGAUACUGGCUCGCUAGAGUGUGUCAGAGGAUGGUGGAAUUCCCGGUGUAGCGGUGAAAUGCGUAGAGAUCGGGAGGAACAUCAGUGGCGAAGGCGGCCAUCUGGGACAACACUGACGCUGAGGCACGAAAGCGUGGGGAGCAAACAGGAUUAGAUACCCCUGUAGUCCCUGUCUCUUAUAC
rnacentral:rRNA from 1 species